rnacentral:lncRNA from 10 species
UUUGUAGGGACGGGGUUUCACCAUGUCAGCCAGGAUGGUCUCGAUCUCCUGACCUCAUCAUCCGCCAGCCUCGGCCUCCCACAGUGCUGCGAUUACAGGUGUGAGCCACAGCGCUCGGCCGACUUCCCCUUUCUAAAGAUCCAGUAACCCAACCCAUCCCUCCACCAUGUGUACUCCCAAGGACCCAGUGUUUUUUGCAUGUCUGACACCCAUCACUCCAACUGGACCCACCAACUAGACCCACCCCAUCCAGAAGUGCUUCAGCGCAGGAGGAUCAUUUCCCACAUCCCUGUGAUGGUACCCCAACCAAUCAGCAGCAAGUACCCAUUUCCUAGCCACCUACACCCCUUCCCCUUGAAAAACCCCUAACCUCUGCACUUUCAGCAAGAUUGAUUUGAGUAAUAACUUCAUCUCCUGCAUGGCAUCACUGGCCUCGCAUCAAUUAAAC